UGAGCUUGAUCCUGGCUCAGGAUGAACGCUGGCGGCGUGCCUAAUACAUGCAAGUCGAGCGAAUGGAUUAAGAGCUUGCUCUUAUGAAGUUAGCGGCGGACGGGUGAGUAACACGUGGGUAACCUACCCAUAAGACUGGGAUAACUCCGGGAAACCGGGGCUAAUACCGGAUAAUAUUUUGAACUGCAUAGUUCGAAAUUGAAAGGCGGCUUCGGCUGUCACUUAUGGAUGGACCCGCGUCGCAUUAGCUAGUUGGUGAGGUAACGGCUCACCAAGGCGACGAUGCGUAGCCGACCUGAGAGGGUGAUCGGCCACACUGGGACUGAGACACGGCCCAGACUCCUACGGGAGGCAGCAGUAGGGAAUCUUCCGCAAUGGACGAAAGUCUGACGGAGCAACGCCGCGUGAGUGAUGAAGGCUUUCGGGUCGUAAAACUCUGUUGUUAGGGAAGAACAAGUGCUAGUUGAAUAAGCUGGCACCUUGACGGUACCUAACCAGAAAGCCACGG
rnacentral:rRNA from 1 species